GACAGAGGAUGCAAGCGUUAUCCGGAAUGAUUGGGCGUAAAGCGUCUGUAGGUGGCUUUUUAAGUCCGCCGUCAAAUCCCAGGGCUCAACCCUGGAAUGCCGGUGGAAACUGUCGAGCUCGAGUCCGGAAGAGGCGAGUGGAAUUCCUGGUGUAGCGGUGAAAUGCGCAGAUAUCAGGAGGAACACCAAUGGCGAAGGCAGCUCGCUGGGACGGUACUGACGCUGAGACGCGAAAGCGUGGGGAGCAAACAGG
rnacentral:rRNA from 1 species